rnacentral:rRNA from 1 species
CCUACGGGUGGCUGCAGUGGGGAAUAUUGGACAAUGGGGGCAACCCUGAUCCAGCCAUGCCGCGUGUGUGAAGAAGGCCCUCGGGUUGUAAAGCACUUUCAGUGAGGAAGAACGCCUGGUGGUUAAUACCCAUCAGGAAAGACAUCACUCACAGAAGAAGCACCGGCUAACUCCGUGCCAGCAGCCGCGGUAAUACGGAGGGUGCGAGCGUUAAUCGGAAUUACUGGGCGUAAAGCGCGCGUAGGUGGCUUGAUAAGCCGGUUGUGAAAGCCCCGGGCUCAACCUGGGAACGGCAUCCGGAACUGUCAAGCUAGAGUGUAGGAGAGGAAGGUAGAAUUCCCGGUGUAGCGGUGAAAUGCGUAGAGAUCGGGAGGAAUACCAGUGGCGAAGGCGGCCUUCUGGACUGACACUGACACUGAGGUGCGAAAGCGUGGGUAGCAAACAGGAUUAGAUACCCGAGUAGUC